AAUGAACGCUGGCGGCGCGCCUAAUACAUGCAAGUCGAGCGAGAAGACGUAGCAAUACGUUUGUAAAGCGGCGAACGGGUGAGGAAUACAUGGGUAACCUACCCUCGAGUGGGGAAUAACUAGCCGAAAGGUUAGCUAAUACCGCGUACGCUCCUUGGACUUCGGUUCAGGGAGGAAAGCGAUACCGUGGGUAUCGCGCUCUUGGUUGGGCUCAUGUCCUAUCAGCUUGUUGGUGAGGUAACGGCUCACCAAGGCUUCGACGGGUAGCUGGUCUGAGAGGACGAUCAGCCACACUGGCACUGCGACACGGGCCAGACUCC
rnacentral:rRNA from 1 species